AUGCUGAUGUCAGUGACACAGCACUGCCUGCCCCGCAGCCCCAUCUGUGUCCCCAUGUCCCCAUAUCUCCACGUCCCUCUGUCCCCAUGUCCCUGUUGUCCCCAUGUCCCCAUGUCUCCUAUACCCCCUGUGCUCCCAUAUCCCCAUGUCCCUCUGUCCCCACGUCUCUGUUGUCCCCAUGUCUCCAUAACCCCUGUGCUCCCACAUCCCUCUGUCCCCAUGUCCCCAUUGUCCCCAUGUCCCCAUAGCCCAAUGUUCCCCUGUCCCCAUAUCCCCGUAUCUCUCUGUCCCCAUGUCCCUGUUGUCCCCAUGUCCCCAUGUCUCCGUACCCCCUGUGCUCCCAUAUCCCUCUGUCCCUAUGUCCCCAUUGUCCCCAUGUCCCCAUAUCCCCAUGUUCCCAUUGUCCCCAUGUUCCCAUAUCCCCAUGUCCCUCUGUCCCCAUGUCCCCAUAGCCCCAUGUUCCCCUGUCCCCAUGUCCCCAUAUCUCCAUGUCCCUCUGUCCCCAUGUCCCUGUUGUCCCCAUGUUUCCUAUAUCCCCUGUGCUCCCAUAUCCCCAUAUCCCCAUACCUCCAUGUCUCUCUGUCCCCAAGUCCCCAUUGUCCCCAUGUCCCUGUAGCCCCAUGUUCCCCUGUCCCUCUGUCCCCAUGUCCCUCUGUCCCCAUGUCCCCGUUGUCCCCAUGUCCCCAUAUCCCCAAGUCUCCAUAUCCCCUGUGUCCCCAUAUCCUCAUGUCCCCCUGUUCCCAUAUCUCCCUAUCCCCAUAUUCCCAUGUCCCCCUAUCCCUAUAUCCCUAUAUCCCCAUAUCCCCAUGUUCUCUCUGUCCCCAAGUCCCCAUGUCCCCAUAUCCUCAUGUCCCCCUGUUCCCAUAUCCCCAUGUUCCCAUGUCCCCCUGUCCCUAUAUCCCUGUAUCCCCAUGUCCCCUGUCCCCAUGGCCCCACACAGGGGUCACCACACUCACACCCCACAGGCCCUACAGUGACACUGGGGCCGUUCCCAGCACUGUGGGAUCAGAGCUCAAUGCUGAGGUCACAGAGGUGCCCCCCACACCCCCAGAGCACUGCAGGACGCCACAUGGGGUCGUGGUGCCCAUGGACACCAAUGGCAGCUCACACAUCCUCCUGCUCACAGCCCAUCCCAGCAUCCUCAUAAACCCAUCUGCACCCGAUGCUCUCCUUUUGGGGUUUGUUGGCAUUGAGGGAAGUGAAAGAGGUCCAUUGUAA
rnacentral:lncRNA from 1 species